rfam:Triticum aestivum genome assembly, contig: Triticum_aestivum_CS42_TGACv1_scaffold_328580_4BS
UAUAUACUCCCUCCGUCCGAAAAUACUUGUCGGAGGAAUGCAUAAAAAUGGAUGUAUCUAUAACUAAAAUACGUCUAGAUACAUUCAUUUAUCGGACAAGUUUUUCCGGAACGAGGGAGUAUUUU